UUUAAAAUGAAUGCCAGAGUU
rnacentral:piRNA from 1 species